CGCGCCGUGGCCGAGUGGUUAACGCUGCCGCCCUCCAAUUUUCCAUCGCGGGUUCGACCCCCGUCGAUGAUA